rnacentral:rRNA from 1 species
GCACGUAGCUGACCUAAUACAUGCAAGUCGAGCGGAACAGAAAGGGAGCUUGCUCCCGGAUGUUAGCGGCGGACGGGCUGAGUAACACGUGGGUAACCUGCCUGUAAGACUGGGAUAACUCCGGGAAACCGGAGCUAAUACCGGAUAGUUCCUUGAACCGCAUGGUUCAAGGAUGAAAGACGGUUUCGGCUGUCACUUACAGAUGGACCCGCGGCGCAUUAGCUAGUUGGUGGGGUAAUGGCUCACCAAGGCGACGAUGCGUAGCCGACCUGAGAGGGUGAUCGGCCACACUGGGACUGAGACACGGCCCAGACUCCUACGGGAGGCAGCAGUAGGGAAUCUUCCGCAAUGGACGAAAGUCUGACGGAGCAACGCCGCGUGAGUGAUGAAGGUUUUCGGAUCGUAAAGCUCUGUUGUUAGGGAAGAACAAGUGCGAGAGUAACUGCUCGCACCUUGACGGUACCUAACCAGAAAGCCACGGCUAACUACGUGCCAGCAGCCGCGGUAAUACGUAGGUGGCAAGCGUUGUCCGGAAUUAUUGGGCGUAAAGGGCUCGCAGGCGGUUUCUUAAGUCUGAUGUGAAAGCCCCCGGCUCAACCGGGGAGGGUCAUUGGAAACUGGGAAACUUGAGUGCAGAAGAGGAGAGUGGAAUUCCACGUGUAGCGGUGAAAUGCGUAGAGAUGUGGAGGAACACCAGUGGCGAAGGCGACUCUCUGGUCUGUAACUGACGCUGAGGAGCUAAUUUCUGCUCUGC